AACGCGAAGAACCUUACCCAGGCUUGACAUCCUAGGAACCUGCUGGAAACAGCGGGGUGCCCUCGGGAGCCUAGUGACAGGCGCUGCAUGGCCGUCGUCAGCUCGUGUCGUGAGAUGUUGGGUUAAGUCCCGCAACGAGCGCAACCCUUAUCGUAUGUUGUAUUUUUCAUGCGAGACUGCCCGAGGCAAUCGGGAGGAAGGCGGGGAUGAGGUCAGGUCAGCAUGGCCCUUACGCCUGGGGCUACACACGUCAUACAAUGGCCGGUACAAAGCGCCGCGAAACCGCGAGGUGGAGCUAAUCGCACCAAAACCGGUCCCAGUUCGGAUUGCAGGCUGCAACUCGCCUGCAUGAAGUCGGAAUCGCUAGUAAACGUGGGUCAGCAUACUACGUUGAAUACGUUCCCGGGCCUUGUACACACCGCUACAGU
rnacentral:rRNA from 1 species